CUGGACUGGAGAGUCCACACUGCACACUGGAAAGUCUCAGGCUGUCCGGCUGUCUGAUCACAGAGGAAGGCUGCUCUGCUCUGGCCUCAGCGCUGAGCUCCAACCCCUCCCACCUGAGAGAGCUGGACCUGAGCUACAAUCAUCCAGGAGAGUCCGGAGUGAAGCUGCAUGCUGGACUGGAGGAUCCACACUGGACACUGGACACCCUCAGGUCAGCAUCAGGGAAGCUUCCUGCAGUCUCAGUGUUUGAGUGACUGCACACAGAGGACUGAAGGAUGAAGUUCAUGAGAGGAAACUGAGUAAGUGGACCGAGCUUCACUUCCUGUCUUCACCAGGACUCCACAGCGUGUCCAUCAGGUGACUGAUCGCCAGCCUGAAGGUAUCACAACACGUCACGUUACAUUUGAUACUUUCACUCUUCAACAUCUUCAUUCUGACUCUGAGUCAGUUACAGUCCUACAGUUCACAACCCUAAUAUGCCACGCUGUUUCCAUGGCAACAGUCAAAGUCUUUAGUUAGUUUAGUAUUUCAAUUCAAUUGAAUUUUAUUUCUACAGCUCCGGGUCACAACUUCAGAUAUCUCACGAGACUUUCCAUGCAGAGCAGGUCAGACCGACUCUGUGUGAUGUUAUUACAGAGUCCAACAGUUCAACCAUGAGCAAACACUUGGCGACGGUGGCGAGGAAACCUCGAACAGGCUGAAGCUCAUUGGUGGACGGUCAUCCACUAAUUCAAGGGGUGGGACAAGUCGCAGCAUUAAUGAGACGUGUAUGUUUACAGAUGGAGAGAGAGAGAGGGGCAGUCUAAUC